rnacentral:rRNA from 1 species
GACGUAGGGCGCGAGCGUUGUCCGGAUUUAUUGGGCGUAAAGGGCUCGUAGGCGGUCUGUCGCGUCGGGAGUGAAAACUCAGGGCUUAACCCUGAGCCUGCUUCCGAUACGGGCAGACUGGAGUACUGCAGGGGAGACUGGAAUUCCUGGUGUAGCGGUGAAAUGCGCAGAUAUCAGGAGGAACACCGGUGGCGAAGGCGGUUCUCUGGGCAUUACCUGACGCUGAGGAGCGAAAGUGUGGGGAGCGAACAGG